rnacentral:rRNA from 1 species
AAAUUGAAGAGUUUGAUCAUGGCUCAGAUUGAACGCUGGCGGCAGGCCUAACACAUGCAAGUCGAACGGUAACAGGAAGCAGCUUGCUGCUUUGCUGACGAGUGGCGGACGGGUGAGUAAUGUCUGGGAAACUGCCUGAUGGAGGGGGAUAACUACUGGAAACGGUGGCUAAUACCGCAUAACGUCGCAAGACCAAAGAGGGGGACCUUCGGGCCUCUUGCCAUCAGAUGUGCCCAGAUGGGAUUAGCUUGUUGGUGAGGUAACGGCUCACCAAGGCGACGAUCCCUAGCUGGUCUGAGAGGAUGACCAGCCACACUGGAACUGAGACACGGUCCAGACUCCUACGGGAGGCAGCAGUGGGGAAUAUUGCACAAUGGGCGCAAGCCUGAUGCAGCCAUGCCGCGUGUAUGAAGAAGGCCUUCGGGUUGUAAAGUACUUUCAGCGGGGAGGAAGGUGUUGUGGUUAAUAACCACAGC